GUAUAUCACAUACCUUUUUGUGUGGGAUACAAAGAAAAGUCUCUUAUUGCUCCCUUGGCUCACAUCGUGGUUUUAUGUUCCCAUGGUUUGGAAGCUAUGACUUAGAAAAAGCCAAGGCACCUGGCUGACAAACCAGUUGACAUAAAUGUGCUAACCAUAUUCUGGAAGGUGGCCUGGUCUGUUAACUGGCUUCUGAGAAAUGAUAAACAUGGCGGCCUCACAGACAGACUACCACUCUCUCAAGAUCUGAAAGUUCUGGAAUAUGAAUCCAGAGCAAGUUCAUUGCUUUCUAUUUUCCGUGGAAAUGGAUCAAACAAACUGCUAAAGGCUCUUCCUAUCAUAGUGUGCAUCACUGUUUGUCAAAGUAGUAGUGGGCCUCAGAACUCUCUCAUAGAUAAAAAUGGCAGAUCUGGAAUUCCUGGGGCCACAUUCCAGGGACUGGACACCGGCUGCUUCCUGAGGAUGCGGGUGGAGGAGCUUCUGACUUCACAGCCCCUGCAGGCCCUGAUGUCCAGUUCUACCCACAGACAGGACAGGACUGUUGUAGCCUUCAUGCCUGGUCUAAGCAGCCUCUCAGGAACCCCCUGAGCCCUGGAGUCCACACAACUCCAAAGCAGCUCAGUUAGGGGAGAGUCAGGGACCCCCAAAUGCUAAGUACCCAGACAUUCUUCAGACCUCUACAUAAUUCAGGCUUAAAAAUGACCUAGGUUGAGUCUGCUGUCAUGUUUUUGGGAUGAAGAUGAAAAGAGAAGUGAAAGUGUCUAAAGAGAAGAGCUCUUCCAUUUCUUGCACUGCUGAACUUGUGAAGAUUCCUAUCCUGUUCAUAAGUAGGAGACCAAGAAGUGGAGAGAGAGGAGAGAGGAAGUAAAAAGAAUCAAGCUGUGUUCUGUACAUCUACCAACUACC
rnacentral:lncRNA from 1 species